rnacentral:snRNA from 1 species
GGUUACUUAUGGUAUUGUAG